ACCCUGGUGGCUUAGUGGUUAAGAGUUUGGCUGCUAACCAAAAGUUUGGCAGUUCAAAUCCACCAGGCUC
rnacentral:tRNA from 1 species